UGCCAGCAGCCGCGGUAAUACGGAGGGGGCAAGCGUUAUUCGGAUUUACUGGGCGUAAAGGGCGCGCAGGCGGCCCGUUAAGUGAGAAGUGAAAGCCCUCGGCUCAACCGGGGAAUUGCUUCUCAUACUGGCGGGCUAGAGUAUGGGAGAGGUGAGUGGAAUUCCGAGUGUAGAGGUGAAAUUCGUAGAUAUUCGGAGGAACACCAGUGGCGAAGGCGGCUCACUGGCUCGAUACUGACGCUGAGGUGCGAAAGCGUGGGGAGCAAACAGGAUUAGAUA
rnacentral:rRNA from 1 species